GAUGAACGCUGGCGGCGUGCUUAACACAUGCAAGUCGAACGGUGAAGCAGGAGCUUGCUCUUGUGGAUCAGUGGCGAACGGGUGAGUAACACGUGAGCAACCUGCCCCUGACUCUGGGAUAAGCGCUGGAAACGGCGUCUAAUACUGGAUAUGUGAUGUGACCGCAUGGUCUGCAUCUGGAAAGAAUUUCGGUUGGGGAUGGGCUCGCGGCCUAUCAGCUUGUUGGUGAGGUAAUGGCUCACCAAGGCGUCGACGGGUAGCCGGCCUGAGAGGGUAACCGGCCACACUGGGACUGAGACACGGCCCAGAGUCCUACGGGAGGCAGCAGUGAGGAAUAUUGCACAAUGGGCGGAAGCCUGAUGCAGCAACGCCGCGUGAGGGAUGACGGCCUUCGGGUUGUAAACCUCUUUUAGCAGGGAAGAAGCGAAAGUGACGGUACCUGCAGAAAAAGCACCGGCUAACUACGUGCCAGCCGCCGCGGUAA
rnacentral:rRNA from 1 species